GUAAGGUUCAGCUUGCUGAAUACACGACCGGCGCACGGGUGAGUAACACGUUUGCAACCUACCUCUAACUGGAGGAUAGCGCGAAGAAAUUCGGAUUAAUAUUCCAUAAAGUCAAUUUAAGGCAUCUUUUAUUGAUUAAAGCUCCGGCGGUUAGAGAUGGGCAUGCGUGUCAUUAGCUAGUUGGUGAGGUAACGGCUCACCAAGGCCACGAUGACUAGGGGGUCUGAGAGGAUGAUCCCCCACACUGGUACUGAGACACGGACCAGACUCCUACGGGAGGCAGCAGUGAGGAAUAUUGGGCAAUGGACGCAAGUCUGACCCAGCCAUGACGCGUGCAGGAUGACUGCCCUAUGGGUUGUAAACUGCUUAUGUCUGGGAAGAAAGCCCCGAUCGUGAUCGGGGCUGACCGGUACCAUAACGAUUAAGCAUCGGCUAACUCCGUGCCAGCAGCCGCGGUAAAUACGGAGGAUGCAAGCCGUUAUCCGGAUUCAUUCGCGUUUACAGGGUGCGCAGGCGGAAAUAUAAGGUCAGUGCUGAAAAUCCUGCAGCUUAACUGUAGAACUGCCAUUGAUAUUAUCUCCUUGACUAUAGUUGGCGGUAAGCCGGAAUGGUGUAAUGUACCGGUGAAAUGCUUAGAUAUUACACAGAACACCAAAUUGCGAAGCCAGCUCACUAAACUAAUAUUGACGCUGAGGCACGAAAGCGUGGGUAGCAAACAGGAUUAGAUACCCUGGUAGUCCACGCUGUAAACUAUGAUCACUCGCUGUUGGCAAUACAUCGUCAGCGGCUGAGCGAAAGCAUUAAGUGAUCCACCUGGGGAGUACGNUCGCAAGAUUGAAACUCAAAGGAAUUGACGGGGGCCCGCACAAGCGGAGGAACAUGUGGUUUAAUUCGAUGAUACGCGAGGAACCUUACCUGGGCUUAAAUGCAGAGCGACGUCCGCCGAAAGGUGGAUUCCUUCGGGCGAUCUGCAAGGUGCUGCAUGGUUGUCGUCAGCUCGUGCCGUGAGGUGUCGGGUUAAGUCCCAUAACGAGCGCAACCCUUAUCGUUAGUUGCCAGCGGGUAAUGCCGGGGACUCUAACGAAACUGCCGGUGUAAACCGUGAGGAAGGUGGGGAUGACGUCAAAUCAGCACGGCCCUUAUGUCCAGGGCUACACACGUGUUACAAUGGUCGGUACAGAGGGCAGCUACCACGCGAGUGGAUGCUAAUCUCGAAAACCGGUCUCAGUUCGGAUUGAAGUCUGCAACUCGACUUCAUGAAGCUGGAUUCGCUAGUAAUCGCGCAUCAGCCAUGGCGCGGUGAUACGUUCCCGGGCCUUGUACACACCGCCCGUCAAGCCAUGGAAGCUUGGGGUACC
rnacentral:rRNA from 1 species